AGAUGUACUAUUUAGUUAUUUUUUUUAUCUUCAAGAGAAUGGCAAGUGUAGUUACUAGCUAGAAACCAAGUAGAACCUAUUUUUAUAUCAAUAAAUAUUAAUCUAGAGAUGUGGUAUUGGAGUGAAAAUUAAAAUUAUGUCCAGAAUCUUCCAAGAAUGGUUAGCUUUGACAGCUUAGAAUUUAAAGAGAAGGAAAUGUCUUGCAAUUCUGCUACUCAACUGACCCCUGUAAGGACUAAUAGUAUCAUUCUAAAAAUCACCAGGAGAUUCUAGAGGAAGAUAAAUUUUGUUUAGACAAUCAAGUUGAGGAAUGAGGUUGUCUCGUUUACGCCCAAAAUGAAUUGUAGGGAUCUUGUCGCUCUCCUACUCGUAAGAAACAAAAUCCUUCACAAGGUUCUUUCCAUUCUAUUGGGGGCCAAGAACUGGCUUUUUCUUUCUCGGAAAAGACCUUGGUUUUAUUAAGAAGAGAACCGCCUCUCAUUCGGUGUCAAACAUCAUCUUUAAAUCCUUCAUGAAAGAAUUGAUUGGGGACGCUUCGGAGGUGGAUAAAUUGAUGGAAUUAAAUCGGAAGUUGGGACAGCUCUACACUGAUCUGCAAAGGGAAUGCUCAUUUUUUUAUCAGACAGAAAAGAGGGCAAAUAACAGCCAUGGACUACAGACUGCAGAGACUGAUGGGACCUCAAAGAGGAGGUUAUAGAAGAGAUCUUCAUUCAAUUGGGGAUUUAUUAAGUUAAUAGAGAUGAUCUCCGAUGAAGGAUACAUAUACAUAUAUUCCGUAAUAAAUUAAUAGAAAUAAAGUAUAUAAAUUAUUCUUGAA
rnacentral:lncRNA from 1 species